rnacentral:rRNA from 1 species
AGAGUUUGAUCCUGGCUCAGGACGAACGCUGGCGGUGUGCCUAACACAUGCAAGUCGAGCGGAUCAUUGUAGCAAUACAAUGGUUAGCGGCGAACGGGUGAGUAACACGUAAGUAACCUUCCUCUAAGACCGGCACAACCACGCGAAAGCGGGGCUAAUACCGGAUGUGUUCCAGCAGAUAAUUUUUGCUGGAGUAAGUCUCUCACGAGGCUUAGAGAUGGGCUUGCGGCCUAUCAGCUAGUUGGUAAGGUAAUAGCUUACCAAGGCAAUGACGGGUAGCUGGUCUGAGAGGACGACCAGUCACAAUGGAACUGAGAUACGGUCCAUACUCCUACGGGAGGCAGCAGUGAGGAAUUUUCCACAAUGGGCGAAAGCCUGAUGGAGCGACACCGUGUGGGUGAUGAAAUCCUUCGGGAUGUAAAACCCUGUCAUAGGGGACGAUAUUGACGGUACCCUAAGAGGAAGCCACGGCUAACUACGUGCCAGCAGCCGCGGUAA